rnacentral:pre_miRNA from 1 species
GUGGGAAGAAAGAAUCUUGGCAGAGGCAUGGGGUAACGCCAAGGUCCUUUCCUCUCCAGAU